AGUCUUUCCAAUCUUUCCUCAUAUGACAGACCUGCCACUCCUGGGAUUAACCUCAUUAACCUAUGCUGCACUGCCUCAAUAGCAAGGAUGUCUUCCUCAAAUUAGAAGACCAAAACUGCACACAUCACUCCAGGUGUGGUCUCACUAGGGCCCUGUACAACUGCAGAAGGACCGCCUUAUUCCCAGACUCAAAUCCUCUGUGGCAAGAAUGUCCUUCCUCAAAU